UCGAGUAUGGUGUAACGGCUAACAUUACCGCCUUUCAUGGAACGUGACAACCGCGAUUCGCGGUAGCUCGGGGUUCGAUUCCCCGUACUCGAG